rnacentral:rRNA from 1 species
ACGUAGGGGGCAAGCGUUAUCCGGAUUUACUGGGUGUAAAGGGAGCGUAGACGGCAGCGCAAGUCUGGAGUGAAAUCCCAUGGCUUAACCAUGGAACUGCUUUGGAAACUGUGCAGCUAGAGUGCAGGAGAGGUAAGCGGAAUUCCUAGUGUAGCGGUGAAAUGCGUAGAUAUUAGGAGGAACACCAGUGGCGAAGGCGGCUUACUGGACUGUAACUGACGUUGAGGCUCGAAAGCGUGGGGAGCAA